rnacentral:lncRNA from 1 species
CGCGCGAUCCGACAUUGUUUCAUGCUGGGGUUUUGCCCUUUCUCUCUCCCUGCCUUCUUAAUCCUUGUCCCCCGAUUUGUGCGCGUGUGCGCGAUCCGAUAUGGUGGAAUUGGUUCAUUUGUGAUGUGGCCGCGCUAGGGUUACUGUGGAAUUGGUUUGAUUUGGAAUGGCUGCGCUAGGGUUACUGUGGAAUUGGUUUGAUUUGGAAUGGCUGCGCUAGGGUUACUGUGGAAUUGGUUUGAUUUGGGAUGGCCGCGCUAGGGUUGGGUUCCAUACUUUAAUUUCAGAUCAGAUUUGCUCGCGCGAACCAAUUACUGUGUAACGGAUUAAUUUGGAACGACCGCCCUAGGGUUGGGAUUAAUUUGGGUUCAGAUCGGAAUUUGGUUUGGACAAGCAAUGUUUUAAUUUGGGAACCUGCCGAUGUGGCAGGUCAUGGCGGAUGGAUUCUAGGUUUGCACGCAUAACAAUGAUUUGAAUCUGACCAAACGCAUUCUAUUUCUAGGGUUUGCACAACGUUUUGAAUCUGACACAACGUAACAUUCUGCAGGCAUGGAUCGGGGCUACAUCCUCUGCGCGGAGUGCCGGAUGGACAACUACUACGACAUCCGUGUCGUCAACAACCAUGACGCGACCCACGGGCGCCUCCAGUCAGCCAGAGAUGAGGUGGACCGUCUGCGGCACCUGGAGAGCCUACGCAAGAUGGCUGCAAAAGACAGGAAGGCUGCUCAGAAGGCCAAGCGUCAGGCAAGCUCCUCCAACAAGUCCAACAAGGAGAAUAAAGGGGCCAAGAAGGGAUCCAAGGGGAAGGGGGACAAGAAGGGAUCCAAGGGGAAAAACUGAAACGGCGCAAGAAAUGAUUGGUAAUAUUUUAUGACUUGCACAUGUUACUCCCAACUAGUAGAUUGACUGUAAUAUACUAACACAUGGGUACAAAAAAUGCAGGAGGAGGACUACGAUGUAAAGACAAGGGCAUCACAACACCUUCACUACUCAGUUUUUAGUUCUUUUGUUCUGCAACUACCUUUUAUGUACAAGCAAAGAACUGUUUGGUGCACUUCGUUGUAGGGCUGUGUCCUCCGUUCUACAAAAUAGAUGGAUAAACAAUUGUUAGAAAAACUUUGAAGUUUGUGAAUUCUGGAGGCUGCUGCGCCUGACAAAUUUGUCCAGAAUACCAAAUAUAAGCAAUGAACAACUGAUUAGGACAUAUUAUAUUGGAAGUUAUUCAAUUGUUCCA